UACGAAGGGUGCAAGCGUUACUCGGAAUUACUGGGCGUAAAGCGUGCGUAGGUGGUUUGUUAAGUCUGAUGUGAAAGCCCUGGGCUCAACCUGGGAAUUGCAUUGGAUACUGGCAGGCUAGAGUGCGGUAGAGGAUGGCGGAAUUCCCGGUGUAGCGGUGAAAUGCGUAGAGAUCGGGAGGAACAUCGGUGGCGAAGGCGGCCAUCUGGACCAGCACUGACACUGAGGCACGAAAGCGUGGGGAGCAAACAGG
rnacentral:rRNA from 1 species